rnacentral:rRNA from 1 species
GAGUUUGACCCUGGCUCAGAACGAACGCUGGCGGCAUGCCUAACACAUGCAAGUCGAACGAGACCUUCGGGUCGUAGUGGCGCACGGGUGCGUAACGCGUGGGAAUCUGCCCUUGGGUUCGGAAUAACAGUUAGAAAUGACUGCUAAUACCGGAUGAUGACUUCGGUCCAAAGAUUUAUCGCCCAGGGAUGAGCCCGCGUAGGAUUAGCUUGUUGGUGAGGUAAAAGCUCACCAAGGCGACGAUCCUUAGCUGGUCUGAGAGGAUGAUCAGCCACACUGGGACUGAGACACGGCCCAGACUCCUACGGGAGGCAGCAGUGGGGAAUAUUGGACAAUGGGCGAAAGCCUGAUCCAGCAAUGCCGCGUGAGUGAUGAAGGCCUUAGGGUUGUAAAGCUCUUUUACCCGGGAUGAUAAUGACAGUACCGGGAGAAUAAGCCCCGGCUAACUCCGUGCCAGCCGCCGCCGUAAU